AUUGAACGCUGGCGGCAGGCCUAACACAUGCAAGUCGAGCGGAUGAAGGGAGCUUGCUCCUGGAUUCAGCGGCGGACGGGUGAGUAAUGCCUAGGAAUCUGCCUGGUAGUGGGGGAUAACGUCCGGAAACGGGCGCUAAUACCGCAUACGUCCUGAGGGAGCAAGUGGGGGAUCUUCGGACCUCACGCUAUCAGAUGAGCCUAGGUCGGAUUAGCUAGUUGGUGGGGUAAAGGCCUACCAAGGCGACGAUCCGUAACUGGUCUGAGAGGAUGAUCAGUCACACUGGAACUGAGACACGGUCCAGACUCCUACGGGAGGCAGCAGUGGGGAAUAUUGGACGAUGGGCGAAAGCCUGAUCCAGCCAUGCCGCGUGUGUGAAGAAGGUCUUCGGAUUGUAGAGCACUUUAAGUUGGGAGGAAGGGCAGUAAGUUAAUACCUUGCGGUUUUGACGGUACCAACAGAAUAAGCACCGGCUAACUUCGUG
rnacentral:rRNA from 1 species